AUCCCAGAUGAGCUUCUCAAAUGCUUACGCUGAUUCAUGGGAGGCCGAAAUCAAAUUCUGGAAGUUUCGCUGAUAAAUGCCUUUUCUCAUUUUAUACAUCAAAGGCAUUUACUAGUAACUUUACCAUACAAUU